UACGAAGGGGGCUAGCGUUGUUCGGAAUUACUGGGCGUAAAGGGCGCGUAGGCGGUGAUCUUUGUCAGAGGUGAAAGCCCGGGGCUCAACUCCGGAAUUGCCUUUGAAACGGGAUUGCUUGAGUCCGAGAGAGGAUGGCGGAAUUCCUAGUGUAGAGGUGAAAUUCGUAGAUAUUAGGAAGAACACCGGUGGCGAAGGCGGCCAUCUGGCUCGGUACUGACGCUGAUGCGCGAAAGCGUGGGGAGCAACAGG
rnacentral:rRNA from 1 species